rnacentral:rRNA from 1 species
UACGUAGGGGGCGAGCGUUGUCCGGAGUUACUGGGCGUAAAGGGCACGCAGGCGGUGCGGCGCGUUUCGCGUGACAGCGGAGGGCUUAACUCUCCGAGGAUGCGAAAGACGGCGGCACUUGAGGGCCAGAGAGGGACACGGAAUUCCGGGUGGAGUGGUGAAAUGCGUAGAGAUCCGGAGGAACACCGAAGGCGAAGGCAGUGGCCUGGCGGGUGACUGACGCUGAGGUGCGAAAGCUAGGGGAGCGAACAGG